GACGAAGGAUGCAAGCGUUAUCCGGAUUCAUUGGGUUUAAAGGGAGCGUAGGUGGCCUUAUAAGUCAGUGGUGAAAUCCUGUUGCUUAACAACAGAAUUGCCAUUGAUACUGUAGGGCUUGAGUACAGAUGCCGUUGGCGGAAUAUGACAUGUAGUGGUGAAAUACAUAGAGAUGUCAUAGAACACCGAUUGCGAAGGCAGCUGACGAAACUGUAACUGACACUGAGGCUCGAAAGCGUGGGGAGCAAACAGG
rnacentral:rRNA from 1 species